rnacentral:lncRNA from 1 species
CUCAACCACAGAUCCUACUGACAUGAAGGUUUAUGCACCUUGAGGACUGCUGAACACUGACACAGCUAGCUGGUGCAUCUAAGAGACUGGCUAGGGCAGCAGCUUUGAAUACUUCUCCAACUACCACAGAGACUGCAAGGCAUCCAUUCAGGCACAACUCAUUUUAUCAGCAAGCCUUCUGCAAGCCGGUCCCAAAAAGAGAAAUGAGCUGUGGCCUGGAAAGGGAAGAAUGAAUCCAGUGGUUGAUGUAAAAGCGAG